GAUUGAUUGAACUAUAUUAUGGCUGACACGCAAAUUCUAUGCUUUGCAUGAAAGCAUCAGUGUCUGAGUGGAAAACCAGGAGAAAGGGGGAUUGCCUAUGUGAUUGUGGAAGCUGUUUUGGAAAGAAUUAUGAUUUAGAUUUUCCCAUUUUAGCCAUGGAUGUUGCAUUUAGCCCCAUGAGGUCACAAGAACUGGAUCCCAUGGCUACUGAUGCAUCUCCCAUGAUCAUAAACAUGACUCCCACUGUAGAGCAAGACGGUGAAGAAGAUGCAAUGAAGGAGCUUGAUUCUGACCAACAGUAUGAAAAGCCUCCCCCACUCCACACAGGGGCAGACUGGAAGAUUGUUCUCCAUCUGCCUGAAAUUGAAACAUGGCUCCGGAUGACAUCUGAAAGAGUCAGGGAUCUGACCUACUCCGUCCAGCAGGACUCAGACAGCAAACAUGUGGAUGUACAUCUAGUGCAGCUAAAGGAUAUAUGUGAAGAUAUAUCUGAUCAUGUUGAACAAAUUCAUGCUCUGUUAGAGACAGAGUUUUCCCUGAAGCUUCUGUCUUAUUCCGUCAAUGUGAUAGUCGAUAUACAUACAGUGCAGCUACUCUGGCACCAGCUACGUGUUUCUGUUCUGGUUCUGAGGGAACGCAUCCUACAGGGACUACAGGAUGCCAAUGGAAACUACACCAGGCAGACUGAUAUUCUGCAAGCGUUUUCUGAGGAGACAAAAGAGGACCGUCUUGACUCUUUAACUGAAGUGGAUGACUCAGGACAGUUAACUAUCAAGUGCUCUCAAAAUUACUUAUCCCUGGAUUGUGGUAUUACUGCAUUUGAACUGUCUGACUACAGCCCAAGUGAGGAUUUGCUUGGUGCCCUGGGUGACAUGACCUCCAGUCAAGCUAAUGCAAAACCACUUGAAUCUUGGAACUACAGUGAGAUGGAAAAAGACUUUCCAGAGUUUAUCAAAAGUGUAGGAUUACUUGCAGUAGCAACUGAUUCCAUUGUUUCCAAGUGCAAUGAAGCCAUUAAUGUGAAAGAAACCCAUUUACCUCUUUCAACAGAAGAUAAGGGAGAAAGCAAAGACAGCAACACAUCACCUGAGCUUUCACUGUUUUCUCCUUCUGGGAAGUCAUCUCUCUGUACAGCAUCGUGCUCUGAAGAUGGCAUCUUAUCAGAUGACAGAAAACCAGUUUCCAGUUUAGAGAAACACAAAUACAAUCCAUUGCACCAUCUUGGUGCAAAAAGCAAACAGCAUCCACACUGUGAAAACUCAACUCCCAAAAGGUCAAUAAGAGACUGCUUUAACUACAAUGAGGAUUCUCCCACACAGCCUACAUUGCCAAAAAGAGGUCUGUUUUUAAAAGAAGAAGUGAUUAAAGAUGAUAUGGAAGCCAGUGAUGUAAAAAAACCCACCUCUCUUAGUUUAAAGACUGAAAUGAGCAGAAGUACACCCUCAUUAUUAGAUCCACCAGACAGAUCCAAGCUUUGCUUGGCUUUACAAUCAUCUUACAAUAACAGUCCAUCUGCUGUCAGUCAGUCAUAUGAUUGCUUACAUAAAAUUGGUGAUAGAAGCCUUGAGUACAUGAUAAACAAUCACUUUAAGGAAAGUUCCAUAAGUCUAGGUAAGUCUAAUUGUUACAUUUGGAAAGAAAAGCCAAGACACAAAAAAUCACAUGAUACUCCUGAGAAGGUGACAUCAUGCAGGACACCUGUGGGUAUAUCUAACACAGCUUCAGCAAUGCAGGUGUAUAAAAAAGGGAGCUCAGCUCUACAAAAUGGAAUUCCUUCCUGUAACUCUCAGUCCAUGGGAGGUACAAAACCAGAUUCUGCUUCCACAUCAGCUGAUACCUGUAAUCAGAGAGAACUGAAUGGUCAGUCCCAAAGUAAAAAUGAACAAUCUAGUUCACCAACUCAUAGCCAAGAAAGUGCAUCUUCAACUGACUCAGGACCUGUUAUCUCCUCCUCACCUGUUCUUCCAAGAAAUAGGAGCAAGAAGAGUUACCUGUCAUCACCAAGUUAUGAUAAUACAAAUGGUAAAGUUGUUGAGGCCUGGUAUGGUUCCGAUGAAUAUUUAGCACUUCCAUCACACCUCAAACAGACUGAAGUAUUGGCUUUGAAGUUAGAAAAUUUAACAAAACUGCUGCCUCAGAAACCCAGAGGAGAAACCAUUCAAAACAUUGAUGACUGGGAGCUGUCCGAAAUAAACUCAGAUUCUGAGAUGUAUCCAACAUAUCAGAUUAAAAAGAAGCACAAAAAAUUGGGUAGGGUUUCACCAAGCUCUUCAAGUGACAUAGUAUCCUCUUUGGGUGAUAGCAUUGAAUCUGGGCCUCUGAGUGACAUUCUUUCAGAUGAAGAGCUUUGUGUGCCUGCCUCUUGCAGUAAAAAAUACAUAGAAGACAAGUCAGGAAAACCUGUAGUGACUGAGUCCUCUGAGAAAAAUGAGACCUCUGCCUCAAAUAAAUCAGCUUUAAUUCAACAAUUGAUGCAAGAUAUACAACACCAAGACAAUUAUGAAACUAUAUGGGAGAAAAUUGAGGGGUUUGUAAGCAAGCUGGAUGAAUUCAUUCACUGGUUAAAUGAAGCCAUGGAAACGACAGAGAAUUGGACUCCUCCUAAAGCAGAGACAGACAGCCUUAAAUUGUACCUUGAGACACACUUGAGUUUUAAGUUGAAUGUAGAUAGCCACUGUGCUUUAAAAGAAGCUGUGGUAGAAGAAGGAUGUCAACUUCUUGAGCUUAUUGUAUCUCACAAAUCAGAAGGACUGAAGGACAUGCUGCAGAUGAUUGCAAGUCAGUGGAAGGAACUACAGAGGCAAAUCAAACGACAACACAGCUGGAUUCUUAGGGCUCUGGAUAUCAUCAAAGCAGAGAUACUGGCUACUGAUGUGUCUGCAGAGGAUGAGGAAGGGACUGGGAGCCCCAAGGCUGAGGUUCAGCUAUGCUAUCUGGAAGCACAAAGAGAUGCUGUUGAACAGAUGUCCUUAAAGCUGUAUAGUGAACAGUACAACAGUAGUAGCAAGCGAAAGGAAGAGUUUGCUGAUAUGUCAAAAGUUCACACAGUGGGAAGUAAUGGCCUUUUGGACUUUGAUUCAGAAUACCAGGAGCUCUGGGAUUGGCUGAUUGACAUGGAAUCUAUAGUGAUGGACAGCCAUGACCUGAUGAUGUCAGAGGAGCAGCAGCAGCAUCUUUACAAGAGAUAUAAUGUAGAAAUGUCAAUCAGGCACCCGAAAAAGAUGGAACUGCUUAGUAAGGUUGAAGCUUUGAAGAAAAGUGGUGUUUUACUACCAAAUGAUCUCCUUGAAAAAGUGGAUUCAAUUAAUGAAAAAUGGGAACUGCUUGGGAAAACCCUAGGAGAGAAGAUCCAAGACACAAUGGUAGGGCACAGUGGGUCAGGUCCACGUGACCUGCUCUCACCUGAAAGUGGCAGUCUGGUAAGGCAGCUGGAGGUCAGGAUCAAAGAGCUGAAAGGGUGGCUGAGAGAUACAGAGCUUUUCAUCUUCAAUUCCUGUCUGAGACAAGAAAAUGAAGGAACAAUGACUGCUGAGAAACAACUGCAAUAUUUUAAGUCUCUGUGCUGUGAGAUCAAACAGAGACGUCGUGGAGUAGCCUCUGUGUUGCGAUUAUGCCAGCACCUCCUGGAUGACCAGGAGACCUGCAAUCUGAAUGCAGAUCACCAGUCUAUGCAGUUGAUAAUUGUAAAUCUUGAAAGAAGGUGGGAAGCCAUUGUCAUGCAAGCUGUCCAGUGGCAAACCAGGCUACAAAAGAAGUUGGGAAAAGUCCCGGAGCCCCUGAAUAUUAUUGAUCCUGGUUUGAUGGACCUAAAUGGUCCAAAUGAAGAUGCAUUAGAAUGGGAUGAAACUGAUAUAAGUCAUAAGCUGAUUAGCAUUAAUGAAGAAUUAAAUGAACUCGAUCAAGAACAAAAGCAGGAUCAUCCAAAACAGAAAUCUGCUUUAGAAGAAUGUGGUGGUAAUGACUUGAAUCAAGAAGAACAUAUCAGUGAUCAUGAAACUCCUCUGUAUUGUUCCAGCAUUACAUCACCUCCUAGCCCUCACAUUUACCAAGUCUAUAGCCUCCACAAUGUAGAGUUAUCAGGAAAAAAACAUAUACCUUUCUUGAAAAAGACUUCAAACUUCCCCAGUGUAACACAGUCUAAUAUUUUAAAUAAAAGUCUUAAGGACUCCCCAUUUUCCUCUACUAAAUCUCUGCCAGACCAAAUAGGCAGGACUACUUUGGCAAAACCAUUCAAUUAUAUGUACCAUAGUGGAAACAUAAGCAGACAUUCUGAGAGUGAAAGCGGAAUAGUCAGUGAAGGUGAUACAGAAACUUCAAACGAUUCUGAAAUCUUUUUGAUAAAUGAUAUUGAAGGAACCCAGAGUAAUCCUGAAAUUGGGCCUCUGGAAGCCCACAUGAGUGACAUAGUUCAUGUGAUAAAACAAAAAAUUAAACAAGAAGACGACGACCAUAUUACACUUUCAGAUAAUUGUCACUCAACUUCUUCUUCAUGUUGUGCAAGUGGAAAAGAGGGAGAUCUAAAUGGUGCUACCCAACAUACCUCUGAUUGUUUGGAAGAAGAAUUACAAGGAAAACAUGAUGUGUUUACAUUUUAUGAUUACUCUUACCUCCAAGGCACCAAACUCAAAUUGCCAGUGAUGAUGAAACAAUCACAAACUGAUAAAGCAUGUACAGAGGGCACUUUACUUCAUGGUUUUUAUUUUGAUAAAAUACCCUGUAAAGCUGAAAUUCAAUCUGCAGAGUUACAACCAGAUGAGUUUAUGCAUGAACUUACUUUGGCAAGUGUCUCCAGGGAAUCAGAUCCCACUUCCUGCAAAUCUGUGGAGGAUUCUAGGAAAUUAACUGAUAUACAGAAUGCAAAACAGGUUUCACGUUUAUCUCAUAGCUCUUCAUUAGAAUCUCUUUCUGUGGCAGGUGAUUUGUUUGGCUCAAGUAUUUUUAAAGCUGGUGAUGGUCUUCAGCGAAGCGCAUCUUUGGAAAGCUGGUUAACUUCAUACAAAAGCAAUGAAGAUCUUUUUAGUCAUCAUGGCUCAGGAGACAUAAGUGCAAGCAGUGAUUCUGUUGGAGAACUCAGCAAAAGGACAUUAGACCUCCUGAAUCGUUUAGAGAAUAUCCAGAGCCCCUUAGAUCAUAAGAUAAAGCGCAGCAUUUCUGAUAUCACACUCCAAAGUAGCUCACAAAAAAUGUCAUUAGCCGGACAGUUAGCAUUAGAUAUUGCAUCCUCAAUCAAUGAAGAUUCAGCUGCUUCUCUCACUGAACUCAGCAGCAGUGAGGACCUUUCUCUUUGCUCUGAGGACAUUGUAUUGCAUAGAAAUAAAGUGCCAGAUUCAAAUGCAUCAUUUAGGAAACAUCUUAAUCGGUCAGUAGCUGAUGAGAGCGAUGUCAAUGUCAGCAUGAUUGUUAAUGUCUCCUGCACUUCUGCUUGCACUGAUGAUGAAGAUGACAGUGAUUUGCUUUCAAGUUCUACCCUGACCUUGACAGAGGAGGAGCUGGGCAUCAAAGAUGAAGAUGACGACUCUAGUAUUGCAACUGAUGAUGAUAUUUAUGAAGAGUGCAAUUUAAUUUCUGGACUUGAUUACAUAAAGAAUGAACUCCAGACUUGGAUUAGACCAAAAUUUUCUUUGACAAGGGAGAAGAGAAGAUGCAACCUCAGUGAUGAAAUUCAGUGCAGUAAAGAUGUAAGUAGCAAUGAGACAUCAAAAGCAAUAGAUACAUUGAGCACUGAAACACUUCUGAAUGGUUCAGUAUAUAAGCUACCGGAAAAUAAUGGCAACAGUAAAAACGUAUCAGAUGGUCAUGAGCUGGGGACAAAAAGUCAGACUAUAAAGGAUAGUUCUCAGGCUGCUAAAGAUCAGUUUGUGGAUGACAUGGAGAAUGGAAAUGUUGAAAAUACUCCAGACAGUCAAAAGGAAGAGCUUAUUAGAACUUCAUCCACUCCCAAAAAUGUUGGCUUACUUGAUGGUAAGGGAGCUGAAAACGAAUGUUGCAUCUGCGAAGCGUUUACAGAUAGUUCAGAUGAUUCACAUAUGGAUGGUAAGGAGACCGUUCAACCAUCAAAUAUAUCCACAAGUCUUCUACAAGAAUGUCAAAAUCAUCUUCAAUCUGACGAUCAUUGCAUUGCUUAUACUCCCAUUAGAAAGCCUUGUAUGGAGCCUGCAUCAGAAAUGAGAGGUAUAGAUACACAAGAUACUUCUUUACUAAAAUAUUUACCUAAUGAUCAACAAAGCAGAACAAGCACUAUUGAAAAACCUACCGAUUGCUGUGUAACUUUUAAACCAAAUGAAGCAGAAGAGAACACCUCAGCAAGUGGUAGUGAUUCAUGUUGCAACUGUGAAUCUGUUGCUUUCGAUAAACGAAAUGUGGAAGAUUGCUCAGUGCACAACUUUGUGAUGGAGAUAAUUGACAUGGCAUCAACAGCCUUGAAGAGUAAAUCACAGCCUGAAUGUGAGACAGCCACUCCUACUUCAUUAACUCAAAUCAAGGAAAAGGUAAUGGAACAUUCUCACCGGCCCAUACAACUAAGAAAAGGGGAUUUUUAUUCUUAUCUUUCUCUCUCCUCUCAUGAUAGUGACUGUGGGGAGGUAACCAAAUACAUAGAGGAAAAGAGCAGUACUCCAGUGCCACUGGACUUUGCAGAUGAGAGAGAAAACAUUGAAUGUUUUUUUGAAGCUUGUCCUGAGGAAGAGCGAGUUGAGCAGCAGCCACAUUUCUCUUCCGCUACUCCUGAAGGAUCUCUGGCAGCAGGCAAAGUCCUAGAAUUAUUGGCUGAACCUAAAACUUCUGCUAAAUGUAGUAGCUUUUCUUUCUUAAGUAAUGACAUUGAUGUAAAUGUGCCCAAUCCUGCCAACCAAAAGGUAUCAAACAAUUUAAAAAAUAUUAUUGAUGAUUCACUGACUUUGGAUAGCCAUAAUGAAGGCUUAGACAUGAAUUCUCUGCAGUUUAGCACUAAAAAAAGUAGUACAGGAAAGUCACUUGGAACUGGGAAGUCUAAAGGAAGUAUUGCUGCUUCUGCAAAGGGUUCAGCUAUAGGUUUUCAAUUAAAGCCAGAGCACUGGAAAGAUCAAGAUGUAUUGCACCAGGACACUGAAACACUUACUUGUGAAGAAAAACUCCUGAAUCUUCACACUGAGAGGCACAUUAAUAUGCACAGAUAGAAUGUAACCCUCCCGUGCACAUACAUUAUCUCAAACAGUGACACCAUCCACUCCAAAAUCACUGGAGAAGCAGCUGAAAUUCAACUGAGAAAUUACAAAAGAGAUGGAUGAGAGUAUAUGAUCAAGUGCCUAUAUUCAGAGGACUAUGUAUACAUGGAAGUAUCUAUCUGAAAAGUGAGAUGAGGACAAAAGGCUCAAGUUUAAACUUGGCUGCUGUUCAGGUGCAGGUUCAUCCUGUUAACCAUGGGAUGACCUCCAAUGCCAUUGCAUCAUUCACUGCCUCUCGUUACACUGACUCCCAAGAUACAUUUUCUUUCCAAAUGUGAUUUGUCCAUGUUGGUUUUUUGAUCAGGCUACAUAUGCUGGUCCUAAUUCAGUAAUCAUUUUGUCGUAUAGCAAAGCCAUUUGCUUUCAUGUGGAUUCCCCUCCCAACUACCUCUAACUACCCACCCUACCUAAAUUGAAUGCUUCUGUAAUACUUAUCACCGUUACAUUCUUUAAAGUUUUGAAAUUCCACAAAUUCAUCAUGAUCAGUCUGAUUCAUCUUUACAAAGCUGUACCGGUCAGUACUCUCUUAUUUCAUGUAUCAAAUUUAAUAUAUAUAUAUGUAUAAUGCAUAUUUUUGUUGAAACUAUUUUGUGUUUAAAAUUACAAUUUUAUUUGAUUGCAGCAAAAGGAAAAGUCAUUAGUCCUCCUAAUUCAAUACAUCUAAAAGUUAAGCAAUUAAAAUCAAUGCCAUUUAUUUCAUUUUAAAAUUUAAUCUAUGCAACACUUCAAGAAACAACUACAUGGUGUUGUAUAUUAGGAACUGUUGACAUUCUACUGAAUUAAGUACAACAUUUUGGGUUUUUAUGCUUCUUGAGGUGGUAAAGGGAAAAAGUUUUUAAAAAGUGUGCCUUGCUGUAUUUCUUAUACCAUUUAUUAAAAAGCUGCUUUCAGAGUAAAAUUAUGUUGGUUUCAAAGGAGGAAAUAGCAAGGUUAAGAUGUGUGAAUAAUUUCUGUAUAUAUGUAUAACCAAGUACAAACAUUGAUGUAUAAUGACAGUAUAAAAUGCUUUCAUGUUUGUGAUGUCCAGUGAUGUUGAAAAUAUAAGCCUUAAAACCAUUAGAUUGCAUGAUAAUUAGAAUUGGCAUAAUAAACAUUGUUUAUUGGGGAAAAAAA